rnacentral:rRNA from 1 species
GCCUCUUGGACUGGGACAACUGUUGGAAACGACAGCUAAUACCGGAUAUUAUGAGAUUCUCGCAUGAGAAACUUAUGAAAGCUAUAUGCGCCAAGAGAGAGCCUUGCGUUCCAUUAGCUAGUUGGUGGGGUAACGGCCCACCAAGGCGACGAUGGAUAGCCGGCCUGAGAGGGUGAACGGCCACAAGGGGACUGAGACACGGCCCUUACUCCUACGGGAGGCAGCAGUGGGGAAUAUUGGACAAUGGGCCACAAGCCUGAUCCAGCAAUUCUGUGUGCACGAUGAAGGUCUUCGGAUUGUAAAGUGCUUUCAGUUGGGAAGAAGAAAGUGACGGUACCAACAGAAGAAGCGACGGCUAAAUACGUGCCAGCAGCCGCGGUAAUACGUAUGUCGCAAGCGUUAUCCGGAUUUAUUGGGCGUAAAGCGCGUCUAGGCGGAAAAAUAAGUCUGAUGUUAAAAUGCGGGGCUCAACUCCGUAUUGCGUUGGAAACUGUUUUUCUAGAGUACUGGAGAGGUGGGCGGAACUACAAGUGUAGAGGUGAAAUUCGUAGAUAUUUGUAGGAAUGCCGAUGGAGAAGUCAGCUCACUGGACAGAUACUGACGCUGAAGCGCGAAAGCGUGGGGAGCAAACAGG